GUGAAUCCUGGCAUCACACUUCUAUUUCAAAGGAAUGAAAAUGCAGCACUGGUCUGUGCCAUCAGUUUACUCUGUUCCCCCCUUUCAUCUGCCUGGAUAUAUUAAGACAAAAAAUGCGAAGCUCUGCUGCAGCUCCCACAUGAAUCAGUCUAAACCCCCCAGUGGGAACGUGUGCUGGUCAUUUCAGGUCCCAUUUGAGACGAGCGAGGGAGUAAGUUAGAGAGAGCGCGAGAGGCAAUAGAUAGUGACAGAGAGACAACUUGAACAGAACUGGCACGUUCUGAGGACACGGCAUGAGCUACUUUGGUGCUCUUGUUUUCUGAGGACACUGUGUGCCAUAAUUAGCUGUCUGUGAUCUACUGACCACUCAAGUAAAGGAGGCGGGCAUCCAAGCAUAAGCCACAGCAAGAACAACACAGAGAACAGCAUUAAUAAUGUUGUUCCUCAAGAAUUACACAACGAAGGCUACAAACCCCGAUGAGAAGCAUCAACAUCCUGUGCUGUAAUGUCGAACUGUGGCCUUGUGCAUUCAAGGCUCGUGGGCCGGUCCCUGCGGAGUAACAACUCCCCCUGUAGGAUCAAAGCAGGACUUCAGCCUAGAAACCUCAAACGCCUGGCUGCAUCUCACAAAGGCUCCUGAGGUGCGCAAAUCGACAUGGCACAUGUUCAGUGUCAACUGACUCCCCUGUGGGCUGCUGUUCCCUGCCAGGCAGAUCAUGGGACAGUGCAGGUGGCCUACUAAAACACAGGGAGCCUUGUUUGAAAAAAAGACAGGCUACAAGGUAGAUAGACUGUCCGUGCUGUGCUGUGCUGUGCUGUGCUGCACCUCAACCCAGCACACAGGCUGCGAAGAUGACUGUGCAUUAACUCCACAAUGGAGACUGUAAAAGGAAAUGUCUUUAACGGUUAUUAUAGCAAUCCUGCUGUCGGCUUUGAUGAUGAAGAAAAAAAAAAACGGUUUGGUAUGUUUGUGGCUUCAUUUCUGUAUCGCUGCACACUAAAAUUGGAAUUUUGUUUUGUUUUGUGGAGAAGUUUUAAAUCAAAGAAGGCUUUCUGUAAUUUCAAAGAUAUCACUAAUGCUUCUGCGCAGAACAAUCAUCUGGUACAAAAGGACUUUUCCAGGCAAACACUAAUUUACAUCUUACGGCUUAUUACAGCUGUUGCAAGAAGCAAAUGUCACUACCUUCGUCUUUUUGGCUUUGAUCCACAAUUUUUCAAACAUAAAUCUGAAAUGCAACAGAUGGACAACAUUCAUCCAGCCUAACCAAAACCGGAUCAAACAUGAGCCCACUGUUCAUCAAUCUGCGUUCGACACGCAGCCUCAACCUGCCCUUAAUUCUCACCCUCAUCUUCAGCUUUGACCACAAACAUAACCCGCGCCGGU